ensembl:misc_RNA 7SK 7SK RNA
GGAUGUGAAGCUGACCUGGCUGUCACAUCUGCCACCACACAGAUUGCCAGGGUUCAUUUGGGCUGAUCUGGCUGGCUAGGCAGGUGUCCCCUUCUCCCUUCAGCUUCAUGUGCAUCCAUCCUGAAGCAACAUGCUGUCAAAAGGGACACCUUGACAGAGGAGGACUGGCUUCAAUCAAGAACACAGGAGCAGCUGUGCUCCCCUGCAAGCACCCACAAACCAGCUCUCCAACUAGCUAGACAAGAUUUUGAGUGUCUUUAUCACAAAAAAAAUUUAUAAAUAUUUAAGGUAAUGGAUAGGCUCAUUACCCUGAUUU